rnacentral:lncRNA from 1 species
UCAGUUCUGCUUGCUGUCGGCACCGCUGCGUUACCCGGAACCGCCGGGCCGAACAGCAUGACGUCCGCUUUGGAGAACUACAUCAACCGUAUCCUCAAGCUGGCCGCCGCGGGCAGUCUGUUUUCAAUUUGCAUUCCCUAAGAAACACUUUCUUUGAUUCAGUUAUCAGGAACUGUUGCCGUUAUUACAUCAGAUGGGAGAAUGAUUGUGGGAACACUGAAAGGUUUUGACCAGACCAUUAAUUUGAUUUUGGAUGAAAGCCAUGAACGAGUAUUCAGCUCUUCACAGGGGGUAGAACAAGUGGUACUAGGAUUAUACAUUGUAAGAGGUGACAACGUUGCAGUCAUUGGAGAAAUCGAUGAAGAAACAGAUUCUGCGCUUGAUUUGGGGAAUAUUCGAGCAGAACCUUUAAAUUCUGUAGCACACUGAGGAAAAACUACAUACUUGGACAUCUGUAAAUCUUUGUACAGAAACUGAUUAUUCUGAGGAUGAUAUAUGGAGUUUUUAUGAGUGUGUCACUGGAUUUUGACUCCUUAUUGAUUCAUUGUAAUAUGUAAAUUAAAAUAUUUCUACAUUUUAUUG